AUUGAACGCUGGCGGCAGGCCUAACACAUGCAAGUCGAACGGUAGCACAGAGGAGCUUGCUCCUCGGGUGACGAGUGGCGGACGGGUGAGUAAUGUCUGGGGAUCUGCCCGAUGGAGGGGGAUAACCACUGGAAACGGUGGCUAAUACCGCAUAACGUCGCAAGACCAAAGUGGGGGACCUUCGGGCCUCACACCAUCGGAUGAACCCAGAUGGGAUUAGCUAGUAGGUGGGGUAACGGCUCACCUAGGCGACGAUCCCUAGCUGGUCUGAGAGGAUGACCAGCCACACUGGAACUGAGACACGGUCCAGACUCCUACGGGAGGCAGCAGUGGGGAAUAUUGCACAAUGGGCGCAAGCCUGAUGCAGCCAUGCCGCGUGUAUGAAGAAGGCCUUCGGGUUGUAAAGUACUUUCAGCGGGGAGGAAGGGGNNNAGGUUAAUAACCUCGUUCAUUGACGUUACCCGCAGAAGAAGCACCGGCUAACUC
rnacentral:rRNA from 1 species